CCUACGGGGGGCAGCAGUGGGGAAUAUUGGACAAUGGGCGAAAGCCUGAUCCAGCCAUGCCGCGUGUGUGAAGAAGGCCUUCGGGUUGUAAAGCACUUUCAGUGGGGAAGAAAGCCUUGGGGCUAAUACCCUCGAGGAAGGACAUCACCCACAGAAGAAGCACCGGCUAACUCCGUGCCAGCAGCCGCGGUAAUACGGAGGGUGCGAGCGUUAAUCGGAAUUACUGGGCGUAAAGCGCGCGUAGGCGGUCUGAUAAGCCGGUUGUGAAAGCCCCGGGCUCAACCUGGGAACGGCAUCCGGAACUGUCAGGCUAGAGUGCAGGAGAGGAAGGUAGAAUUCCCGGUGUAGCGGUGAAAUGCGUAGAGAUCGGGAGGAAUACCAGUGGCGAAGGCGGCCUUCUGGACUGACACUGACGCUGAGGUGCGAAAGCGUGGGUAGCAAACAGGAUUAGAUAGCCGAGUAGUC
rnacentral:rRNA from 1 species